GUUACAACAGCAUCCUGGUUUUAUUGGCAAAUAAAUCCUGUUUCUCUAAAAGAGAAAGUCCUUUGACGUGUCGUAUGUGGGCAUUCGAAUGAAGAUUAUCCGUCCUACCUCCAAGAAAUCGUAGAAGAAAGUAACUGUUAUUGGAAUUUUGUUCGAGUGGACUACGCGCAUCGUUUCGACUCGCUUGGUUUUAUAAAGCCCAGUUUCUUUCUGGAUUCGUUAACGAGAACGGCUAAAAAGGAACACUUUUUGUAAGACUACGGAAACUGUAGGUACCUCGGUUACACAGGAUUCGUCAAAAACAACAGCUUAAAGGAACAUUUUUUGGAACACUACGGAAACAGUACCUCGGUUACACAGCACCACCUUGUUGUUGUUGGUUGUCUAGACUCCGCAAUAGAAUAUUUGAGGAGAACGAACUCGACGCCGCUGAUAUGCUGCACUGGAAUACCAUACUGAUGGAACUUCACUUCAAAGCCUAGUUGCCCCGUAUUGUUGGUUUAAAGACAUGAAAAGUUAUUUGACACUUCAAUAGUUGUAAAGUGGCUAUUUCACAUGUCUAAUAUUAAAUGCAAUAUUAAA